UACGAGGGGGGCGAGCGUUGUUCGGAAUUAUUGGGCGUAAAGGGUGCGUAGGCGGUUUGGUAAGUCUGAUGUGAAAGCCCUGGGCUCAACCUGGGAAUUGCAUUGGAUACUGGCAGGCUAGAGUGCGGUAGAGGAUGGCGGAAUUCCCGGUGUAGCAGUGAAAAUGCGUAGAGAUCGGGAGGAACAUCUGUGGCGAAGGCGGCCAUCUGGACCAGCACUGACGCUGAUGCACGAAAGCUAGGGGAGCAAACAGG
rnacentral:rRNA from 1 species